UCCGAAUUAGUUUAGUGGCUAUGACGGCGCCUUGUCAUCUUCGGAUGCUUGUUCAUAAUCUCUGCGUUUCACACGGCGCAGACCCGGGUUCAAUUCCCGGAUUCGGAG